AUUGAACGCUGGCGGCAGGCCUAACACAUGCAAGUCGAGCGGCGCGCCGGACGGGUGAGUAAUCCCUAGGAAUCUGCAUGGUACUGGUGGAUAACGUUCGGCAACGGACGCUCCUACCGCAUACUAUCAGAUUCGCCUCGGGCGGAUUAGCUAGUUGGUGAGGUAAUGGCUCACCAAGGCUACGAUCCGUAACUGUUCUUAGGGUAUGAUAAGUCACACUGGAACUGAGACACGGUCCAGACUACUACGGGAGGCAGCAGUGGGGAAUAUUGGACAAUGGGCGAAAGCCUGAUCCAGCCAUGCCGCGUGUGUGAAGAAGGUCUUCGGAUUGUAAAGCACUUUAAGUUGGGAGGCGUUACAGACAGAAUAAGCACCGGCUAACUCUGUGCCAGCAGCCGCGGUAAUAC
rnacentral:rRNA from 1 species